UUAGCAUCAAUUGUUUUAGUAAGUAGGUUAAGUGAAAAUGUUGUAAAUAAUCAGUGAUAGAAAUCUAACUGUCCUUUAGCUUGUAGUAGUUUGCAUUGUAAGUAGUUUCAGUAGUGUUUUGCUUUGUGUUAAUAGAAAAAAAAAAGAUAAAAAAAAAUUGGGCCCACGAAUUGCGCAAAAUAUGCGACUUGACUCACUUGUCUUAAAUUAUUUUGUUUUUCUUCUUAGUUUUGCUACUUUAUGUGCAACUGACCAGCGCAGAACACAGUUGUAGUUUUGACUAUGGGCUGUGUUCUGGCUGGAGCCAAGAUUAUUGGGAUGACUUUGAUUGGACAAACCAGUACGGUUCGACUCCGUCUUACUCCACGGGGCCUUCAUCUGACCAUGGGGGCUACGGACGCUACAUGUAUAUCGAGACCUCCUCACCUCGGGUAUAUGGUGAUAACGCCAAACUCGAAUUUUCGG